rnacentral:lncRNA from 1 species
UUUGUGUAUAAAAUAAGUGGUGAUAAAGAGGUUUUUCUAGUUUGUUUUCCUCUUUGUGGUUUGAAAAUCAGCACACAGUCAUCUGCAGGGCGCUAAGUAUACGAUCCUGGGAACAUGAUGUGAAAAAUCAGGAACCUGCAGCUGAACCAGCGUAGCCAUUGAGAAGUGGCCAUCCUCCCACUUCUGCCCCUUUCCUCGGAAAAGCCCAGAAGUGUUUCAAGUGGUGACCAGCAGAGGGCAGCAGUAUCCACCGCUUCCCGCAGAGCACGGCGUGCGGAGGUAGACUGUCUUCCGGUCCCACCCGGAGAUGGGGAAUUCUAGGCCAGGUGGGUGUGACGACGUGCAGCCCUAGCGAAGGACAGGGGUGCACGACAGAGGCACUGGAUGUAGUGGCUCCAAGUGCUCCUUACCCCCAGCCUGGGCUUUUAUAACAACCUCUCAACUGGUCUCCAGACCCCAAUCCAUCCCACAAACCACUGCCAGAUGAAGCUUCUGAAAGCAAUGCUCUAGCCGGGUUGUAUUUUUUGCUCUGAAACCUUGCGUGGCUUCGCUUGUCUACGGAAUUCAGUACUGAAUCGAUUAAGAGGUAGUCUUUUCACUGACUUAGUUUUACUGCUCCCUGGUACACAAAAAUACUUCCUUCUAUAGGUAAAUUCAUAAAGAAACACACAC